GUGCUGGACUGGGCAGCACAUACACUAAAACCAGAAUGACACAGGAAAGUCAGCAUGAGUCCUGUGCAAGGAAGACAUUCCAAUCCUUGAAGUGUUCCAUAUAUUU
ensembl:snRNA U6 U6 spliceosomal RNA